ACACAUGCAAGUCGAGCGGAGUGAUAGUGCUUGCACUAUCACUUAGCGGCGGACGGGUGAGUAAUGCUUAGGAAUCUGCCUAUUAGUGGGGGACAACAUUUCGAAAGGAAUGCUAAUACCGCAUACGUCCUACGGGAGAAAGCAGGGGAUCUUCGGACCUUGCGCUAAUAGAUGAGCCUAAGUCGGAUUAGCUAGUUGGUGGGGUAAAGGCCUACCAAGGCGACGAUCUGUAGCGGGUCUGAGAGGAUGAUCCGCCACACUGGGACUGAGACACGGCCCAGACUCCUACGGGAGGCAGCAGUGGGGAAUAUUGGACAAUGGGCGCAAGCCUGAUCCAGCCAUGCCGCGUGUGUGAAGAAGGCCUUAUGGUUGUAAAGCACUUUAAGCGAGGAGGAGGCUACUUUAGUUAAUACCUAGAGAUAGUGGACGUUACUCGCAGAAUAAGCACCGGCUAACUCUGUGCCAGCAGCCGCGGUAAUACAGAGGGUGCAAGCGUUAAUCGGAUUUACUGGGCGUAAAGCGCGCGUAGGCGGCUAAUUAAGUCAAAUGUGAAAUCCCCGAGCUUAACUUGGGAAUUGCAUUCGAUACUGGUUAGCUAGAGUGUGGGAGAGGAUGGUAGAAUUCCAGGUGUAGCGGUGAAAUGCGUAGAGAUCUGGAGGAAUACCGAUGGCGAAGGCAGCCAUCUGGCCUAACACUGACGCUGAGGUGCGAAAGCAUGGGGAGCAAACAGGAUUAGAUACCCUGGUAGUCCAUGCCGUAAACGAUGUCUACUAGCCGUUGGGGCCUUUGAGGCUUUAGUGGCGCAGCUAACGCGAUAAGUAGACCGCCUGGGGAGUACGGUCGC
rnacentral:rRNA from 1 species